UCGACUGCGGUGAAGUUGGCACGUGCUGUUUCUUGUAAAAAUGACAUACAAAGUCAUAUGGUUCGUUCCCUCUGGAGAUACCCCUGGAAACUGCCGUGACCAACGUCAUGAGGAAACAAUUGCUGAACUUCGUAACAAGCUUGAACUGGCCAGCACCAAAAAUGCAGAGCUGUCACAGUAGCUUCGCAAUCUCAAGGAACUCAUGGCAGCCAACAUGUGUAUACCGGAGUGUCAUGGCAUUGAACAUGCAGUGGACUGCUGUGAAG